UUAUUGUGACGUCAUAAUAAUUAAAACGUCACAAUUUACUGGCAGUAGUUUGUGGUUACUUCCAAUCCAAGAAAAUUAUUUCUCCGAGAAUAUCGGCGAGUUUUCUACCGAAAGUUUCUCAUAGAUUUUAAUUAGAAAUAUUGGCAUCGACUGGAAUCUACUUUUUCAAGACAGACAGCAUAUCAGUAUAAAAACAUGUUUCCUGGAUUUUCGUUGAUGAUCAUGGGAGUGUUCGAAUUACGGAAAUGGUGGGGAAAGAAAAAUUUUAAAAGAAAUGAGAAAAGUCUCAUCAUAAACCCGGAAGAUUUGGGAACUGAUGUUGACACAGGACUGAACGAAGAGGAGUUCAAUAGAUUAGUUUCGGAUGAAAUUGACAAUUUGAUUGCCUCAAUCCAAUCUUCAAUGUAGAUG